rnacentral:rRNA from 1 species
UCUGCCCUUGAGGCGUGGCUUCCGGAGCUAACGCGUUAAGUCGACCGCCUGGGGAGUACGGCCGCAAGGUUAAAACUCAAAUGAAUUGACGGGGGCCCGCACAAGCGGUGGAGCAUGUGGUUUAAUUCGAUGCAACGCGAAGAACCUUACCUACUCUUGACAUCCAGAGAACUUUCCAGAGAUGGAUUGGUGCCUUCGGGAACUCUGAGACAGGUGCUGCAUGGCUGUCGUCAGCUCGUGUUGUGAAAUGUUGGGUUAAGUCCCGCAACGAGCGCAACCCUUAUCCUUUGUUGCCAGCGGUCCGGCCGGGAACUCAAAGGAGACUGCCAGUGAUAAACUGGAGGAAGGUGGGGAUGACGUCAAGUCAUCAUGGCCCUUACGAGUAGGGCUACACACGUGCUACAAUGGCGCAUACAAAGAGAAGCGACCUCGCGAGAGCAAGCGGACCUCAUAAAGUGCGUCGUAGUCCGGAUUGGAGUCUGCAACUCGACUCCGUGAAGUCGGAAUCGCUAGUAAUCGUAGAUCAGAAUGCUACGGUGAAUACGUUCCCGGGCCUUGUACACACCGCCCGUCACACCAUGGGAGUGGGUUGCAAAAGAAGUAGGUAGCUUAACCUUCGGGAGGGCGCUUACCACUUUGUGAUUCAUGACU